rnacentral:rRNA from 1 species
CCUACGGGAGGCAGCAGUGAGGAAUAUUGGUCAAUGGACGAGAGUCUGAACCAGCCAAGUAGCGUGAAGGAUGACUGCCCUAUGGGUUGUAAACUUCUUUUAUAUGGGAAUAAAACGUUCCACGUGUGGGAUUUUGUAUGUACCAUAUGAAUAAGGAUCGGCUAACUCCGUGCCAGCAGCCGCGGUAAUACGGAGGAUCCGAGCGUUAUCCGGAUUUAUUGGGUUUAAAGGGAGCGUAGAUGGGUUGUUAAGUCAGUUGUGAAAGUUUGCGGCUCAACCGUAAAAUUGCAAUUGAUACUGGCAGUCUUGAGUACAGUUGAGGUAGGCGGAAUUCGUGGUGUAGCGGUGAAAUGCUUAGAUAUCACGAAGAACUCCGAUUGCGAAGGCAGUUCACUGGACUGCAACUGACACUGAGGCUCGAAAGUGUGGGUAUCAAACAGGAUUAGAUACCCGUGUAGUC